UACGUAGGGCGCAAGCGUUGUCCGGAAUUAUUGGGCGUAAAGGGCGCGUAGGCGGCUAGAUGUGUCAAAGGUGAAAUCCCUCGGCUCAACUGAGGAACUGCCUUUGAAACUGUCUGGCUUGAGGCCGGGAGAGGGUAGCGGAAUUCCCAGUGUAGCGGUGAAAUGCGUAGAUAUUGGGAGGAACACCAGUGGCGAAGGCGGCUACCUGGACCGGUUCUGACGCUGAGGCGCGAAAGCGUGGGUAGCAAACAGG
rnacentral:rRNA from 1 species